UACAGAGGGGGCAAGCGUUGUCCGGAAUUAUUGGGCGUAAAGAGCUCGUAGGCGGCUUGUCGCGUCGUCCGUGAAAACCCACAGCUCAACUGUGGGCUUGCGGUCGAUACGGGCAGGCUAGAGUUCGGUAGGGGAGACUGGAAUUCCUGGUGUAGCGGUGAAAUGCGCAGAUAUCAGGAGGAACACCGGUGGCGAAGGCGGGUCUCUGGGCCGUAACUGACGCUGAGGAGCGAAAGCAUGGGGAGCGAACAGG
rnacentral:rRNA from 1 species